rnacentral:rRNA from 1 species
AUUGAACGCUGGCGGCAGGCCUAACACAUGCAAGUCGAACGAGUGGCGGACGGGUGAGUAAUGUAUGGGAAACUGCCCGAUAGAGGGGGAUAACUACUGGAAACGGUAGCUAAUACCGCAUACUAUCGGAUGUGCCCAGAUGGGAUUAGCUAGUAGGUGGGGUAAAGGCUCACCUAGGCGACGAUCCCUAGCUGGUCUGCGAGGAUGACCAGCCACACUUGAACUGAGACACGGUCCAGACUCCUACGGGAGGCAGUAGUGGGGAAUAUUGCACAAUGGGCGCAAGCCUGAUGCAGCCAUGCCGCGUGUAUGAAGAAGGCCGUCGGGUUGUAAAGUACUUUCAGCGAGGAGGCGUUACUCGCAGAAGAAGCACCGGCUAACUCCGUGCCAGCAGCCGCGGUAAUUC